GAUGAACGCUAGCGGCAGGCCUAACACAUGCAAGUCGAGGGGCAUCACGUAAAGUAACUUGUUACUUUUGGUGGCGACCGGCGUACGGGUGCGUAACGCGUAUGCAACCUACCCUUUACAGGGGGAUAACGGAGGGAAACUUCCACUAAUACCCCAUAACAUCAGUUUCGGCAUCGGGAUUGGUUAAAAACUCCGGUGGUAAAGGAUGGGCAUGCGUUGUAUUAGCUAGUUGGAGAGGUAACGGCUCACCAAGGCGACGAUACAUAGGGGGACUGAGAGGUUAACCCCCCACACUGGUACUGAGACACGGACCAGACUCCUACGGGAGGCAGCAGUGAGGAAUAUUGGUCAAUGGGCGCAAGCCUGAACCAGCCAUGCCGCGUGCAGGAAGACGGCUCUAUGAGUUGUAAACUGCUUUUAUAUGGGGAUAAACCCGGUUACGCGUAACCGGUUGAAGGUACCAUAAGAAUAAGGACCGGCUAACUCCGUGCCAGCAGCCGCAGUAACAC
rnacentral:rRNA from 1 species